AAUCGUGGAUUUUUAUGAGUAUGAUUUUAAUCCAACAGAAGAAAACAACAACAACUACCCAGUGUAUUCCCACCAGGUGGGGUCUGGGGAGGUAAUAUGUAGACGAGCCUUACCCCUACCCGAAAGGGCAGAGAGGCUGUUUCCAAUCGACCCUCGGCGCAUUAUACUCCCACCAGGUGGGGUCUGGGGAGGGUAAUAUGUAGACGAGCCUUACCCCUACCCGAAAGGGCAGAGAGGCUGUUUCCAAUCGAUCCUCGGCGCAUAGGAUAAAAUGAAAAGCAGCAUUAGAACAAAAACAAAAACAAAAACAGAGACAAAAUUAGAAACAAAAACAAGACAUAACAAAACAAUAAAGCAUUAAUAAAUCCCGCAGAAAUAACG
rnacentral:lncRNA from 1 species